rnacentral:lncRNA from 1 species
AGGUAUUUUAUGUACGGCCCUUUCCAAGUUGUGACUGUCACCAACAACCGGCAUCUUCCCACCUUUGACUUGUACGACGGACAUGGCCAAGGCACAGCCAUCUUCUCCUAGAAUCUAAUUGUGGAGGAAAAGACUUGAGAAGAAUCCAAGAAUCUGCGACCUGGUUCUGUAUUCUGCUGACAGGAGGAACCUUUAGAGGUCUUCCGUAAUUAUACUCAUAGAGGGCUUGAAAGUGACACACAAAUAUUAACAGAACUCCUGCAGUGUGAAGUUUGGGUAGUUUUACUGAAAACACAGUUCUAUUUGGAAAUAUUUGCAGUUGUGAAUGAGAAUUAUGGUUCUCGGUACCAGGAAGCUUUUUCCUUUCUCAGGCCCACCCACAGACUCAUCUCAGUCUUUAUCCUCCGCACACAGGAUCUGUGGACCUGUGGAGUGGGAAAGGAUCCGUGUACCUCUUUCCAGAUCUAAACUCUCAACACCUGCAUGCUCUGCCAAGUGUUUUCCUUGUGCAUUCCUCAGGAGCUGUGGAGGAUUCCAUUAAUAUUUUCAAAGAAAGAGAAUUGAAAAUCUGGGUCCUUGAAGACAUAGCAGCAUAAUGGCCGGUGAUGAACUCUCAAAAGAGCAAGAAAUGAAUGAGUUCUGUUAGGCCAAUGUCCCUAACUAGUCCAUUACAUCAGCAAGUACCAAUGCAGCAAUGGUUCCUGAAGUUUGAGCCUCUGAUGUAGUCCAGGGAAAGGAAAUUCAGAUAAAGAAGCCAAGACAUCCAUGCAUGGUACAGCCUUCUCCACAUGCCAUUCAGAAAUGGACUGUGGGAGACUUGCAGAGCUCUGCUUGGGAUCUCCUUCAUCCUACUCAUGCAUGGUACGUAGGAAAAUGGCUUUCCAAAUUUAGCAACUGGGACAUUCAUUGAAAGGCCACACCAGUUUCUGCUUAUUUUCUUUGUCUUUCUGUACUCAUUUAUAAUAUUUUAAAUGUUUUCAAUAUUUUAGAUGUAUCUGCCAUGACAUCCUACAGACAAUUUUAUUAUAAUAUAUGUUUUGCUAUGUUUCAGUGUUUUUAUGUUUGAUGAAAAAAAUAUAUAUAAACAAAAUUGAUUACAUUUAAAUCACAAAGAAGAGACACAUAGAAAGCUGAUGACAUGAAUAGACACUAUUUUUUCCAAUCAAAAUACUCAUGAAACAAGGUACUUUUUUCAAACAGGAAUUUAAAUUCCUAAUUUUAAUUCCUCAAGAAAGGAAUCAUUUUUGUGUAAAUGUUUUGCAGUAUGUAACAUCAGCAUUCUUAUAAAAGCUGGAAGAAUCUCUAGCUAAGAGAUAUAGGAAUUUGGCAAAAUGUCCAUUUGGUUCAUAAAUAUUUACUAAAGUAGAUUUCAUAAAAGAGGCACCAUAUGAAUUUGGGGUGAGAAGUAAUACAAAGUCUGGUUCAUAAUUUUAUUUCCUUUCUACUAGCAAAUUAAUUAGGUAUAUUUCACAUAUUAUACUUAUCAUACAUAGCACUUCAUGAAUUUUUAUCUGUGGUUCAGAAUAAUCAUGACAAAUAAUGAUAUAAGUCAAAGUCUAUAGAAGCCAAUUUCCCAAGUCAUCUCAUCACGCCACGGAAACACAGAUGCUCUGGUCUGUGUCUCAGUGACUGCCACAGAAGAUUGUGUGUGCUUAAGGUUGUAUCUUUAGGUUCUAUCUUCAGGAAGACUUUUUCAACAGUAAUGCCCUUUUAAUGAGAAAUCAAAAGCAGUCUUCAAGAAGCGUUUAUAGGUACCUGUGGGCUUUCUGGAGAAACUCUGGACAGUUCACCAGACACAGAAAUGAAUAAUUUAAGUGUUCUGAGCUCAAUCUUGCUUUAUACUGAGGUCCUCACUGCACAAUGAUUAUAAUGUCAUUAAAAAUAAUGAGUGUCUACAGAUGAGUGUUGCUCUGCUUACUUCAAUGGCUAUUUUUCUUAAAAGAACUAAUAGUAUUCAUGCAAUUGACAUCAUAAGACUCGGUGACUCUUGCUUACUAUCAUGUCUGUGCCUGUUGUGCUCAGUCAAGAUACCCUCACCAGAAUACAGGGGCAUCUGGAGCCAUGGUUCAUGAGUCAGCACCAAGGCCUAUGAGAAACCAGGGCAGACCCCUUGUUCAUACACUUCUCUGGUUAGUCUCAAUCUUAUCCCCAGUAUGAUAUAAACUAUUUCAUUAUUGUCACAUUGAUAUGGGUGUUCAGGAAAUAUUUUGGUAUUCUGAAUAUCAAGUUCCAAUCUUUGUGUGAUUUAUCAUUAAAUACUUUGACAAGAUAAACUUUAAUUCUUCUGUUUAAUCCAUUUUUAAAGCAUUCCAAAUGAAAAAUGUAUGAUUUGAUCUGAUAUAGGAAUUAUAUGCUUUUCUCUACUCACAGGACCUUGGCAGCACGUACCUCAGUCACAUAGAUGGUUCAGAAUUACUAUUUUAUAGAGAUGCAUAGUCAAUGGGAACCCUUAUUAUAUGCCUCUGAAGUUAGAAUUCCUCCCAUAGUCACACUCACCUUGCAUUAUUAAAGGCUAGUAUUCAAAGUUCUUGACUAAUCUAUUAAAAUUCAGUUCAUUAUGGACCUAUCUUUAAAGAGUAUUUCAUCAAGUACUUCUUCCUGGAGAUGUAGUUUAACCAGUUGGAGUCUUGGAUUUACCAUCAUAAUCAUCACUGCCGCGAUUAAAAGCAACAAUGACAUCACAACCACAUGCUACACACAAAAAAAAAUGUGUAGGUUACAUGUGUUUUCUAAUGAACAGUGUCUGCUAGUAAUGUGAUAGACAUCUCUUCACAAGUAUUCCAUUGCAUAAUAUGAUAUAGAACACAUUACACAUCAGUUACCAUGAUCUUAAGGCCUAUGGCUCACUUCCUCCACAAAGCACCUUUACACUUCCUUCCUCAUCUAGUAUAGAUGAAAGAGCCAUUUACACCUCAGGGGAAACUAAGAAAAACGUUUUAUAGUAAGUGGAAACAUUAUGAACAAAUGCAGUCAAACUUUUAAAAUAGAAUCUCUCUCUUAUUUAAAUUAAAUUAUUAUUAUUUUACUUACUUCCCACUUACUUCCCCCUCCAGGUCACCCCCUCCCACAAUCCUUCUUCCAUCCACAUUCUCUUCUCCUCUGAGCGGGUGGGGCCCCGUGGAUAUCCCCUCCCCCUGGUGCUUCCAAGUCUUUUCUAGUCUAGGCGCUUCCUUUCCUCUGAGGCCAGAUAAGGCAGUCCAACUAGAAGAAUAUUCCCAUACACUGGGAACACAUUUUGGGACAGCCCCUGCUCCAGUUGUUCAGGAUCCAUGUGAAAACCAAGCUGCACACCUGCUACAUAUGUGCAAGCAUAAGUCUCCAAAACGAUUAAUGAUAUUCUGCAAUACUUGUCCUCUGAGAGACUCCACCCAGCA